UACGUAGGGUGCAAGCGUUAAUCGGAAUUACUGGGCGUAAAGCGUGCGCAGGCGGUUUUGUAAGCCAGAUGUGAAAUCCCCGGGCUUAACCUGGGAAUGGCAUUUGGGACUGCAAGGCUUGAGUGUGGCAGAGGGGACUGGAAUUCCUGGUGUAGCAGUGAAAUGCGUAGAGAUCAGGAGGAAUACCGAUGGCGAAGGCAGGUCCCUGGGCUGACACUGACGCUCAUGCACGAAAGCGUGGGGAGCAAACAGG
rnacentral:rRNA from 1 species